GACACAGGUAGACACAAUGUAACCCGCCAGAGGAGUAAGAGGUCCUGGCCCUUUUCUCCGGAGGCCAUGGCAGAUCCCAUAUAACCAACAUCACAGGAGAAUAAGCUCCCGGGCAAAGCUGAGAAGACGUUGUGAGAAGUCUCAUCCUCUGGCCACUGGAGUGAGGGCAUGAGCCGAGGUCAGUCCACCAUUUCACAACUCUGACCUCCCAGGCACUCUCCGUAUUUCCUCAGCCAAAGGUGGACACCCCACUCCCAGAAAUGGAUUACAGAAGAGAAUGGGGUAUUCUUCCCAUAUCACCUUCUCUAAAUUCCAUUUUGAACUGAAUGUCACCUACACCAUAAAGCCCUUUUUGAUCUUGAGUCAUUUUAAAUUAUAAUCCUAUGACUUACUAA